UACGGGGGGGGCAAGCGUUGUUCGGAAUUACUGGGCGUAAAGGGCUCGUAGGUGGCCAACUAAGUCAGACGUGAAAUCCCUCAGCUUAACUGGGGAACUGCGUCUGAUACUGGAUGGCUUGAGUUUGGGAGAGGGAUGCGGAAUUCCAGGUGUAGCGGUGAAAUGCGCAGAUAUCAGGAGGAACACCGGUGGCGAAGGCGGAUCUCUGGGCCUUACCUGACGCUGAGGCGCGAAAGCUAGGGGAGCAAACAGG
rnacentral:rRNA from 1 species